UCCAGACUCCUACGGGAGGCAGCAGUGAGGAAUAUUGGUCAAUGGGCGCGAGCCUGAACCAGCCAAGUCGCGUGAGGGAGGACGGCCCUACGGGUUGUAAACCUAUUUUGCCGGGGAGCAACGGGCGUCACGUGUGGCGCCACUGAGAGUACCCGGAGAAAAAGCAUCGGCUAACUCCGUGCCAGCAGCCGCGGUAAUACGGAGGAUGCGAGCGUUAUCCGGAUUUAUUGGGUUUAAAGGGUGCGCAGGCGGCGUGUCAAGUCAGCGGUAAAAUGUCGGGGCUCAACCCCGGCCGGCCGUUGAAACUGGCGUGCUCGAGUUGGAGAGAAGUAUGCGGAAUUCGUGGUGUAGCGGUGAAAUGCAUAGAUAUCACGAAGAACCCCGAUUGCGAAGGCAGCAUACCGGCUCCACACUGACGCUGAGGCACGAAAGCGUGGUUAUCGAACAGGAUUAGAUACCCCAGUAG
rnacentral:rRNA from 1 species